rnacentral:piRNA from 2 species
UGAACACCUAUGUGCUUGGCCUUAUCUAGG